UGAGCCGGUGAGGAGACAGCAGAGGUGCUGACACGCCGACAGGCAGGGGAUCCUGGGAAAAGCCGCAGACAGGAAGAGCCUGACUGGCUUUGACCCGCCGGGUCAAGGCUGGGGGCUCGGCAACUGAAAGAUGUUUCCAAGCCACACUCGCCUCGAUCAUCCACUUUUUACAGGAAACAACUUCCAAAUGCUGCGAGCAGGCGGAAGGGUGGAGAGGCGCCUUCUGACCAGUUGGUGGUGCUCCUGCCACAGUCAAUUGCUGCAAAGACUUGUGUGUGUCUCCAAAAGUGGGAGUGACAGAACAGGCGAGAGACAUUUGACAGCUGUGCUCCCCGGGUUCAAAGGUCGUGUCAAACGGUGGACGAGUCUCAAGAAGCAGCGCUUUGCCGCUCUCCUCCCAGUCAUUACGAUGUGGACGGCCAGCUCUUGAAGCUUCAAAGGCGGGAAGGAGCGAUUUAAGCACGGGCUCGGAGCAUCCCCCUUGGCCUCGCAG